CAGAGGCGAGGCCGCGGCAGUCCACGCGGUACGGGUAGUCGCACACGCCCAGCUCCUGCCCAGCAGCACACGCAAACAACAGGUUUCGACAGAUUAGUCCGUCGUCUUUGGAAGCCUACAAAAUUUGGAGUAAUAUGAAUCAUAAGAACUUGACCAUACGUUUUUGUGAAGUAUAACAAGGUUACUACAAAAACUUACUUAAUAUUGGUUUAGCGGAAGCCAAGAUCCUUUUCACAAAAGAAAAAUGCGAUAACAUGUCCAAAAAUACUACUUCGCGGUAAUAUAGUCUAAUGGUAAACACUUUCAACACAUCAUCAGAGUACAGGUGGCAGAAUUGAAGAGGAAAGAAGUGGAGGUAAAUGUUUGUAAUCAUGGUUUUUGCACUGUCUACCAAUAAACAUU